UACAAAGGUGCCAAGCGUUUAGGCGGAAUCACUGGGCUUAAAGCGCGUGUAGGUGGACGGGUAAGUAUCUUGUGAAAUCCCACGGCUCAACCGUGGAACUGCUGGAUAUACUGCUUCUCUUGAGGCACUUAGGGGCAGCUGGAACAAAUGGUGGAGCGGUGAAAUGCGUAGAUAUCAUUUGGAACGCCAAAGGCGAAAGCAGGCUGCUGGGAGUGAUCUGACACUGAGACGCGAAAGCCAGGGAGCAAACGGG
rnacentral:rRNA from 1 species